rnacentral:misc_RNA from 1 species
GAUGAAGAACGCAGCGAAAUGCGAUAAGUAAUGUGAAUUGCAGAAUUCAGUGAAUCAUCGAAUUUUUGAACGCACAUUGCGCCCGCCAGCACUCUGGCGGGCAUGCCUGUUCGAGCGUCAUUUCAACCAUCAAGCCCCCAGGGGCUUGUGCUGGGGCCCUGCGGCUGCCCGCAGGCCCUGAAAACCAGUGGCGGGCUCGCUAGUCACACCGAGCGCAGUAGCACAUCUCGCUCAGGGCGUGCGGCGGGCUCCUGCCGUGAAACCCCCCACUGUAACCCCAAAGGUUGACCUCGGAUCAGGUAGGAAUACCCGCUGAACUUAAGCAUAUCAAUAAGCGGAGGA